UUAUGUCUUGCAGAGCAUCAUUUUACAGAUCUGUCUACCCUUUUGCUGACCUGAUUGAGUGAUUUGGCAUUGAGUGUAAGAACCAUGACUACCUUCAACACACACAUAGGGGUUCCAGCUGUCUGCUUCCCACCUCCACCUAAGACUACCCUUGCCAACACUGCAUCUGAAGUGAAGUCCUCCUCCCUGCUGGCUGCUCAUAUGGACACAGCCUUUCAGAACAACAAGCACGGCUUGAUCCAAAUGUUAAAGUGGCUCCAGGCGUGGAUGCACAUAUGCCAUCGGAGAUGGUGGAGGAAGGCUUCACCUGGACAUGUUUAUUGCUGCUGAGUUUUGAAGGAAAGUCCCCAGGAGGCAAUUUCAGGUGCACACAAAAGAAAGAACAUGAUCAAGGCGGAGUCACAAGUCACACUGUCAAUGCUCUCGGUCGAGUCUCCAUCAGGGUGUCUCUGGCCUUCAGAGUAGGCUUCUCAGUCCUGCCAUGAAUCGAAUCCAACCCAUCCCCACAUGGAUUCCUCUCUAAUCACUCUCUAUCAAGACUCUAUCUUCCAGCCAAAUCUAAAUCCUCUCCAUCACAUUACUCUUCUACUUGGAAAAUCCUUCUCUGCUUAUAGUUCUACUCGCCAUUCACCUCCAUGAUGAAUGGAUUCACCUUCCUGAAUCCUCCUGACAAAAUGAAUAGCUCUCUCUUUUACACUACUGUUUCCUAUAGCCCUUUUCACAGCCAGACCUGUCUUAGACUUAACUGGGUACCCUUCUGUCUACCCCAUCUGACUGUGAGCACUUUGAAAACAGGGGCCAUCUCUUAUGUAUCUGUGCCUGGGCAUAACUCUGCCUAACACAGUGCUUUGUACGCAUCAGGGUAUCCAUUGUUACCUAUUGAAUUGAACUGAAUAAACAGUUCCUGAAUGAAAAAUAUACACAUAAUUUUAUCUGCAUAAUUAUAACUAAGCUGAUACAGGUGGGUACAAUGCAACUCUUUUUGUUUCCAAGCCCCAACUUGCUGUUGAAUCAUUUGUAGAUUUCCUGACUGAUUAUUUUUUUAUAUUGUUAGGAUUUAGUGGUAUAAAAAUAUGAUCUAACAAUUUGACUUACUGUAAAAGUAGUUCUUUAGUUUAUAAUCUGUGUAUAUUAAGGGUUGUAACUGCACUAUUCUCCCAUCUUAAGUAAGGCAAUUUCAGGGUGAGGUUUUACCUUUUGAUGUCAAGCCUUUAAACACAAAAGGAACAAUUUUAUUCCUACAGAAGCUGAUAAAAAUUACACUACAAAUGAAUCCUGUGCUGCACUUAGUUUAUGGCCCAUACUAAAAUAAAUUUUCAGUAGUCUCUGCAUAUAAAUGGAAUGAUCUGGUACAGAUGGUCAUAUUUUGCACUAAAUCUUCAACAAUAUUAACUUUUCUGCAAUGAAUAAAGUCAUCAUAAUAAUGUCAUUUCUACGUGGCAGCAGCUGAUUGAAGAGAAAUGAAAUAUUAGGGCAGUUUCAUUUACCUUGGCCCAUUUCUCUGGUGGAGGUGGUAGCAAACUAGACUUUCUCAGCUCUCCUAUUUCUGGGCAUCUUAGUGGCUUGGGGCCAUUUGAGCCAAUGGAACAUUUUCAGUCACUGACUCUCUGCCUUCGGCCUUACAGGCCAAUCCUAUGUUGUUCUUGAGCCACUUAGAUUUCAAUUUCACUAGUAUCAACCCUACGUCUAAAAUUGAUAUUUAUCUUUACAUUUUAUAGUAAAUGCUUUUUAUAUUUCAAAACAAUUACAAGUAAUUAAUUCAAAAGCAGAAUCUAAAAAAAAUUAACUAUGAAUUGAUUAAAAUAGGUCUUUAAUUUGAAACUGUGUCCCAAAGAUUUAAAAGGGUUAUUUUGCUCACUGAAUUACACCCAAAACUAAUUCCAAAUGUAUGGCAAAAUAAUCUGAAAUUUUAAUAGCUUUUAAAAUAUAAUUUAGGGACUUCCCUGGCAGUCCAGUGGUUAAGACUCCUUACUUUCAACACAGAGGGCGCAGGUUCAAUCCCUGGUCAGGGAACUAAGAUCCUGCAUGCUGUGUGGUACAGCCAAAAAAUAAAUAAAAUACAAUAUAAUUCAUAUGUUUCAAUCACAAGUCUUAGUGAUUUUAAUCAAAUGUAUCAGUCUCUAGUAAUCCAGUCUGACAUACUUAAUUCAU
rnacentral:lncRNA from 1 species